GAAUCCCUAAGUACAAUUUAUCAUUACCGCCUAAAAUAUAACCAUGACUUCUCAUGUUCCAAAUUUUCUUUUCAUUUCACAUUUUAGAAACUUUUCAUCAUCGAUGAAGUGCAAGAAAUAGUGAAAAAGGAACAAAGAACGUGAUUGCUCGGAAAUCUUCACAACCCACAACGGCUUCAUCAUUCUUCUUUACCGUUUUCUAUACUCUCUUUUACGCUGCUUUGGAUAUUAAAGUUGAUUCAUUCGUUGUUGUUCUUACUUUUCUUCAGUAAAGGUAAUCGCUUCAGUAAACUCACGCUUCAGCUUCAGUUUUCUCUCAAACUCUUGCUUCCAGAAAUCCCUAAGGUAAUCGCUUCCAGAAAUCAAUUCGUUUCCAGAAAUCGCUAGGGUAAUGUUCUUGAUUUUGAGUUUUGUUCCCACCCUUUCCAGAAAUCACUCGUACUCACCGUUUCUCAUUGUUUCCCACAAUCACUUCCAGAAAUCACUCCCCAAAAUCGCUUCUAGAAAUUGCUUUUCAUCGUUUCUCAUUAAAGAGUUUAAGAAAUGCUUCUUCUUCUCAUCGCUUCAAGGGUUCGAUUGACAUUCUCUUCAUCAAAGAAAUCUAUUUUUAGUUCACAAUUUUCUCUUCUCUCGUAUUUGUACCUUUUAUUUCAUGAAAUAGUGGCUCGACCAACUUUGUGGUUGUUUGGUGAUCAAAAAGUUAGAGUGUUCUAUGCUGUGAGAUUUUUUGUUGGUUUUCUCUCGCUUUCCACGUAGACUGUUCUUGUGGUAGCUCUUUCGAGAAAGUAUGGAAAACGACUUGCUUCUUAUACACUUGCUAUGCCGUGCUUAACCAACGACUAUUUCUUUGCUAGCACAAGUUUCUUGUCAAGUUCGUUUCCCAUGUAUGCAAUCUCUCUUGCUUCGGGUUUAUUUCUUCUUGAUAAACAUGCUGCAGCAGUUGUUGUCUCUGCUAUUGGUGUGAUACAUGGCUGGCCAUUCUCAAUCUUGGCUUUCCUUCCGGUGACACUUCAUUCUUUAUA